ensembl:lncRNA
GGAACCUGAAUCUGCCUUUGUUUUGCUUAAAACUCUUCCCCCUUGUCCUGUCCCUGCCUGGCAGCGUGAACAGUUGCUCAGCCUCCUCUUAAGCUCCCUUCCUAAGUACUGCAAGACUUAGAAUCCAGAGCCAAGAGGCAUGAGAUUUGCUUGCAAGCCUAUCAGGGUGCAGACUGAAUGCCUGCAUGGGCAGGUGAGCCUUACGAGCAGUAAUGAGCCGCUUGGUGGGGCAGAGUCAGCGCCCCACCGUGAUGGCAGGGGAUGGCUGCAGGAUGGGCUGGGCUGCGUGCCUGCGGGUUGGAAUGCCACAGGUAAGCUGUUCCCAGCGAUGAUGUGAGUUACUGUCACUGAACGCGGCGUGAGAAGUUGGGAGAGCUGUAGUGUUCCUUGCUGGCAAUAAAAGCCAGGGAGGUUUGCUUAGUCUCAAGUAUGUGUCGGAUGGCACUCCCGUUAUACAUCUUCCAAGUGUUGUAGCA